CUGUGAAGGGCCAAGGGCCAUAGGAGAGAUCAAGGAUAGAUGCACUAUUACUUUGAGAUGAAAGGAUCAUCACGAACCAAAAAAAGAACCAAAGGAUAGGAAAAAAAGAAGCCCACAAGUUCUUGAAAUCCCUAGCAUCUCCCCUGGGGUAAGCUCUUCAGUGUGAAAUCCAAUUUAUUUUAUUUUCUCUAUUUCUUUUCCUCUUUCAUUUGCUAUCAUUAAGAUUUGUUACUAUUAAUUUUGGGUGUUUCAUAAAUCUCCCUGACUCUUGAUCCCAUUGUUCCUUCUUUGUUUGUGUUCAAGGAUCCUUCAAUUCUUCUUUGUGAUAUUUGAAAACCCUUUUAUUCCACUUGCAUUUAAGCCCACCAAUUUAGACAUGAAGUGUGCCUUUUUUAUAGUUCUUAUUUUCUUCAUUUAUGUUCUUUCUUUCCUUUUUUUUUUCUUUUUUUGCCAUUUUCUUCUUGCUCUUGGUGUUUGCACAUUCUUGGGUGUGGGACUACACACUUGGACGUGAAGCCAUGGGAUGAUGAGACUGACAUGAAAGAGCUUGAGGCAACAUUAAUCAAAUCAAGAUUCGUGGCAAGACUGUGGCUACUGUAUUGAGUCAGAUGUUUUCCAUAUGGGUUUGGUUCUCCAUCCUGAAUUUGCAAUAUUAAGUAUUUUGGAUAUCUGGGUUUGUUUCUGUUUCUGCAUUGAUGAUAUGUUGUGAGCAUGGUGGGUUUGUGAUGAAGGAAAUGUGUAUCACUAGGGAAUUUUAAUCUUCAUAGAAUUACCACCAGCUAUAGUGGACUAGGACAUGGUGAUAAAGAACCCAGGCUAGUUCCAUAGUCUAUAAUUGCGUUGAUCAAUGAUAUUUUUUUCCAGUGGUUCAGUCAUCAGUAGUCACAGCCGCUAGAAAAGGGAGGCUUUCACAGGGGGGACUGGUAGCAUGCAUUGAGAACAAGAGAGAGAAAGGAAGAAUUUUUCAUUACUUUGGGUGAGAAGAAAAAAAACUCGUGUCCACUGGUCUUUGGUGGGUUUUGGAGAAAGAGAACCGAUCUCACUUGAAGCCGAGGAAUACUCCUCAAAGGUAGGUUCUUCCAGGCAACAAUUUAGCAAGGACAAUGGACACCCUAGAGAAAGACUCUGUGUUUCAUCCAACAAAAUUUGAUUCAGAAACGUCCUUAUAACAACCAGAAAUUGAUUCUGAAACCGAAGUAGUUGUGAGUGGCUUUCUCGAGACGUCGUUCCUAAUUCCUGAAAGCAUUUCAGAUCAGUAUGAGACUUCAGGAUGGAAAUUAAAGAACUUCCCAUGACUGCCAGAUUCAGUACUUUAUUUGAACAGAGUGGUGUCUCUUGAGUUCUGGUAUCAUGGCUCUAUGAUAUGUUUCUCGUCAAGUACAAAUCCUUAGGUUAUAUUGAAUAAAGUUCUUGUUUGUGUGAUCCUUUAAUAGAGAUGUGUUGUAAGUGUUUUUGUCUUUAUUCUUCUCGGAAUUUGUGGGUUGAUAUGGAGGUUGAUGAGGCUCCUUGGAAUUCAAUCAUUUCAAGGUAUGUGCAUUGAGGAGAGGUUGAGGAGCACGGGAGUUGUUUGAAGAAAUGGCAAUGAGAAGGAAUGUGGUUUGCCGGACUGCAAUGAUAAAUGUGUAUGGGAAAGAAAAGAAUUUUGUUGGAGAUGUUGAGUUUGUUUUUCAGAUGCUUGUUUCGGCUGAUGAGGUCCAGCUCAAUGCGACAACAAUGGGAUGUGGAGAAAGCUUGGAGAAUCUUUGAUGGUGUUUCUUAUAAGAAGCUGCCUCCUUGGAAUGCCAUCAUUACUGGAUAUAUGUAGCAUGGACUUUUUGAGGAAGCAAUAGAUUUACACUGUCUCAUGAAAGUAGUCUGUGAAACCGAAUGAGAUCACACUGGUGAAUGUGUUGUCUGCUUGUGCUGGCUUAAGGGCACUGUAACUUGGGAGAGAAGUUCACCUGUACCUGGGUCUAAACGGGUUAGAGCUAAAUGUGAUUCUUGUCACUGUUGUGGUUUAUAUGUAAGCAAAACGUGGUAAAAUCGAUAAUGCUUGUUUGGUUUCUAUCAAGACGAGCGAGAAAGAUGUAGCCUUGUGGAAUGCCAUGAUACUGGUACUAGUUUACCAUGGUGAUGGAAAUGACUCUUUCUUUAGUGGCUUUUUUUUUUUCACAGAUGGAGAGGACUGGUGUGCAGCCCAGUGAUGUCACAUUCAUUGGAGUUUUGUCAGCUUGUAACCAUUCGGGAUUGGUAGAAGAGUGAAUGGUUCAGUUUUCUAGUAUGGCCGACAAACAUGGAUUGUCUCCUAAACUUUAGCAUUGUGCUUGUAUGGUAGAUCUCCUUAGCCAGGAUGGGCAUGGCGAAGAAGCAUAUGAAUUGGACCAGAACACGAUAAUUCCACCUGACUCAAUAAUCUGGGGUGCUUUACUAAGUACUGGUUGCAUCCAUUGGAAUCUAGAACCGACUGAUACAAUCAGUGAAACAAUAAUGGUAUUACAGGAUCCCAAUCUGCAGGAAGGUGGAAGGAUGAGGAGACAGGUAAAAGAGAAAAGGAUCAAAAGGCCUUCUGGUUGUAGUUGGGUUGAAGUUGAUGGUGUUGUUCACAGAUUUGUAAUUGAAGAUACAACUCAUAUGAAAUCUAAGGAGAUCUAUGGCACCUAUGAAAUUCUGGUUAAUCAUUUGAAGGCUGAAGGGUAUGUGCUAAAUUCUGGUUUCUCAUGGAGGGAUUGAUUGAUUCAGUUGAUAGGAGAAGGCAUAAUGGGGAGCCACUGGCAAUUGAGAUGUGGAAGAACUUUCGGAAAUAUGAAUUCUGAGUUUACGAAUUACUGUAUGAGUAUUUUUGUUAUGUCUAGAACAAGUGAUUUCUAGAAGUCUCCAAAUAGAAGAGAUGAAUCAGAGAGAUCACCAUGAAAACUAUUCCAAACUUCAUCUCUUUCACCACUGAUUCAUGGCCAAAGGAUCAGACCUUCAGACACAGGACUUGAAUUGCAUAAGAAGGGCAGUCUGGGAAUAACCCCUUUGAAACACCAUUUGCAGAAUAAUUUAGUCUUAUUCUUGAUGAUAUUAGGACAAACUUGGACAUGAAAUGGAAGCAGGGAUCUUCGCCAAGGUUCACACUCAGAGAAUUAUUCCAUCUCUAAGACUCGGAACCCCAUCAAGACCUCUUGUCAAAUGUUCUCCUGUUUGAUAUCGCUUACCAUUAUAGUCAUCUGCAGUGUCGGAUUUCAUUCGAAUUCUUCAGACAACUCUCUGCAUUCAGCCCAUGGAGAUGACAACCAGAAUUCCAAAGCAGCAGCGAUCAGACCAAUACCCAGAUUCCAAUUGUUGGAUGUGAUGGUCAGCCAUAUGGGGCCCAUCACUACCAAUCUCCUCCCACUUUUGCCACCUCAUCACCUCCAUGCCAUAAUAAAGAAAUACCUUUUGACAAUGCAUGGCCAGUCAGAAUUAGUAAAUUGUAAAGAACUAGGAGACGUUAAUCCAGGUUGUCCAGCUCUGCAGCUUACUGGGAUAUUGUUAGGUGUGAAAAUGAAGUGAAGAACCUAGUCUAAGCUCUCCAAUGUACCCAAAACAGAACUAGCUCCAGAAGCCACUACAGAACUUGUUGAGACAGAAAGCAAUCUACCAAGGCAGAAGGCAAUAUUGGCUAGUGGAUUUGACUCAUUGCCCUUGAAUGGCGUGUAUGAUCAAGGAGAUUACGAGAUGGGUUCACUUGGAGAGUAUUUGACAGGCGGCAUGCAUAGCUGGGACUCCAUGCACAUGAUGUUGGUGGAUAUGGUAGAGAUCGAAAGCUCCAAUUUUCUGGGAUUGGAUAUGGCCAAUGACAAGAGCCCAGCUGGGGGUGAGACAACUCAUUCACAACUUAUGUUCUUCAAACUUCUUGUCCUUUCCCUGCUGGAAAUUUACCUGCAUGAAAAUCCAGGUAAACCCCCGGUUUUGUCAACGUACUCAAACUUGGUUAAGGCAUUUGUUAACGCACACACUGCAAAAGGUAACAAGCAGCUUGGACAGCGCAUAUGGGGAAUUCUGCAUAAGAAAAUUUUCAAAGCAAAGGAAUAUCCAAAGGGUGAGGCUGCAUUAGCAAAAGGAGAGUCCAAAAUUAUCUGAAUCAAGAUUUAGGUGGAUUGAAUUGAUGCUUGGCUCGAGUAUUGAAGAAGGAGAUUAGUUGAGAAGUGCUGUUAUUUAAUUGAAGAAAUUGUAGAUUGGUGAAGCAGAGGAUGAAAUAGCAAAUGGCACUCUUCUUCAGGAGUUCAAAUUACCUUUUGCUGAGUGAGGUUUUGAAACUGUCGAGGUGGUUUUCUAAAUUUGAUUGAAUACGAGAUUCAUAAGAAUGCUAUAGGAGCAGCUAGAAAAUGGGCAGAAAACUGCAUACACAGCUUUUGAUCAAGUUGCUGAAAUUGUGUGAUUAAAGAAACUUACAAGCAUCAGGUCAGGGAAUGGACAAGUAAUCAUGGGUUUGGAGAAUGUUGGCCUCAGAAUGUACACGUGCUCGAAUUCCUCAACUGCUUCAAAUCACUUCCAGGUUUGACUUCAAAAUCUUCCGAAUUCCAAUUCUGUUGAUGGCUGCAUCGAGUUCACAAAAAUGAUAGUACACACCAAAUGAAAAUAGCACCAGACUUGCCUCUAGAUGGUUCCCCAUCAUCCCUGAAUGAUGUUCCUACUGAAUCUACCGAUGGAUCAGGUCUAACUACUAAUGAACCUUCUACUGAUCCUGAGAUUGAAGAAGCUCUGAGAACUGCAGGACUUUUGUCUGAUUCCCCUCCCAACAGUCCACAUCAGGAAGCUAAAGGUCUCAAUGAUGAAGAUGAUCUCUUAAAGGAAAAUAGAGAAGGACUUGAUAAUACAUUUGACAUGGAUUCUCACCUGGAACUGGAUAUAUAUGGUGAUUUUGAGUACGAUUUGGAAGAGUAAUUUUGACAAGGAAUUUGAAGAUAUUGAGGAGUGCCCCACCUAUUACAGUGUAAACCACACCGUGAAUCAUAGCCUUCCUCGCCUUGUUCUCAAGGCCUGCAAACACAAGUUCCAUUCAGCCAGCCUGUGCAAGUGGUCCUCUACUCACAAAUCAGCUUGUCCAUUGUGCCAGGCUCCAUUCUGACCUAAAUUGUUCAAGCAAUGAUGCUUCAAUGGAUAUAACAUUCCUUUCACGGGAAGGAAUACGGGUUGAUGGAGUUAAGUGAGUCACAAUAUAAACUCAUAGCCUAAGCUUCGGUUGGAUUUAAACCUUCUUUGGGUGUAUAUGAAGGCUGUUGAAUAAUCAGCCAUAUGAAAACAGAUACACUGAAUGGGGCCUUUGAUGUUAUCUACUGGUGUUUGUGACAUUAAUUUCAAGCUUAAUGAGUUCAUGAAAUAGGAGUUCGCGAAGAAGAAACAUGUUUCCUUUCAAUGUCAACUUGCCUCCAGGCUAUUAUAUGCUUUGAAGAGAAGUUUCUGGACCAAAGACAUAGAGCUGAAACAAGAGGAAUGUUGGUGAGAGAGGCUUCUAAGAUGGCAUCUGAUUCUUUCAUGGAGUAUGUGCUAGCCCGAAAAUAAGAGAUAAAUUAGUGGCAAUCUCGAAAUGAGCAGGAAUGAUUGGAUUUCGCUGCCAAAGACUGAAUUGUAGAGUUAUGAGCCCUAGUUUGAUUCGUUAAGGAGCUUGGAAAUUGAAGAGAAGAUCAGCAAAGUAAGGUGGUGUGCCAACGCCCAGUGGAUCACUAUUUAUUCUUUCAACAAACAAGACAAUUAAACGUAUGGAACCUGGAAAUCAGUGAUCAAUGUUUUAAUAUCAUGAAACCAUCAAACAGGGGAGAAUCAUCCAACUGUGGCUUCAGUUGUUGUCCGCUUGGCUGAUCUAUACAACAAGGUAGGAAAAUUAAGGGAGUCCAAAUCUUACUAUGAAAAUGCCCUUCGAUUUUAUGGAAAGCCCAAUCCUGGAAUCCCCUCAGAAGAGAUUGCCAGCGGUUUAAUUGAUACUUCAGCUAUCUUUGAACCCAUGAAUGAGCUGGAGCAGGCACUCAAGUUACUUCAGAAAGCCUUAAAGAUAUACGGUAAUGCCCUAGGUUAGCAAAGCACAAUUGCAGGAAUUGAGGCCAGAUCAGGGUCAUAUAUUAUAUGAUGGGAAAUUACUCUGCCUCAUGCAACUCCUGCAGCAGUGCCAUUUCAAAGCUUCGAGCAAGUAGAGAGAGAAAUAAUAAUGUUGACAGCCUGCACUUUCCGUAGAGGACACACGUAUAUAGAAUCUCUACAAACAAGGUGCCGUUUAAGAAGGGCAGGCGAUUGUGCCCCAAUAAUGAGAUUGAAAUUCCUGCUAGUGGUGUUCUUGAAUCGGGUCCUAGUGUCACUUCUUCAAAUCAGAUAGCUGCAAGAAUGUUGAACAUCUAUCCAGAGCCAAGUCAAUCUCUUGCCAGAAUUCAAAGGUCCAAGUCAACGGAGCAGCAUCCAUUAUAGCUAAGGGCAAGGUCAGAUUCUCUCAUAUCUGCCCAAGAUAUUGCUGUGCAGUCCGAGAUAAAUCAUCCCGAAAAGUCGGGGUAUAUCCAUUGCAGACACCUCCAAAGGAAGAUAUAAAUUGGGACAAACUUUAUACAGCUGAAAGACUCUCUAAGUCGGACAGAGUGAAAAAUUUGGGGGGAAUUGUCACUUGAAAAACAAUAAAUUUCCUCUCAAUAAGGAAGACUUCACAGUGCCCGAGGAGCAUGAGGAUUCUCAAGUUGCAUGCUUGGGGGGACUGGUAUUGAAUAAGGUUGGAAACACUUACUCAACAGCUUGUGGGUGAAGGAGCAAAUAAUUACAGGAAGCUGAACUCCUUUCGGAGGUGUUUCUCAGGACAAGAAGCUGCCUCAUCUCCAACUAUAUUCAUUGGUGAAAAUCAUGAAGCAUCCAAUUGCCUACGGAAAGGCACCAUUGCUUACAGGCAUCCUAAAUGCGGCGUGCAGUUGCAUUGAUAAUCCAUCAUAUGACAACACCAUUCUGUAAGUCUUGAAGGUGUUCGCUAUUGCUAUUUCACUCACAGAGCUUAGAGCACACAAGGAACCUUGUUGAAAGUAUUUCGAAUACUCUACAAUGCUGCACUCAACAGCAAAAAACCAUGGGAAUCUCCAUCUAUUGAGGCCACGGGCCAAGUAGCAGCCAUUGGCAGUAAGAUCUCUGAGCAUAGGUCUUUUGAGCUACAACUUGAAGACACCGUGUAGGGCUAGAGAUGUCAAGGAAAACAUCUUUAAUGGAGUCGUGCUGUCAUCAAGUUAGUUUUAAUGGCGACAUCAACAACGCUGGAUAUAGUUGAGUGCUCUUUUUGAAUACAGUAGUAUCUAGGAUCAGAAACUAAUGCUCUUGCCACAAUUACACCUUUGAUUAAUGGAAGUGAGCAUCAAUCGACAAGCUCCCUUAUGCAGGCUGCAGAUAACUGGUUAAGACUGCUGAAGAUGUAAAAGAUAGAGCUCAUGAUGAGCGGGAAAACACAGAAACUAAACUACAGAAGAAUCCAAAAAUGAAUUGUGAGAAAAUAGACAAAUUAGAUGAACUUCUAAGCAAAGACUUGACUUCAUGAUUCCAAAUAAUGAAAUUCACUGAACCAAUUCAUGCAAAAAUAAUUAGGGCUGUGGUGGGGGCCUAACAUCCAUGAUAUUUUCUUCAAUAUUUUUUUUUGUUUGAUAUUUAAUUGAUUGUACUUCCUCUUUGUGAAUACAUGAGAUUAUUUUACACCUACUAUUGAGAUAACCUUGUUCCUCAUUUUAGCACUCAACUCGUUGUCCAGGUACGCUCUCCAUCACCCCAUUUUCCAAAUUCCACGAAUAUCCAUGUGUUUGUGUACUAUGCCCUUGUUUGAUGUUACACUUGAUUGCCUUAAUAUAUGCUUGAUCGUUUGAUUUGCUCUGAUUAAAACAAAUGUUGUGUGUUAUGUGUCUACACUAACUUUGGUGUUUUAUGAUAGUGCUUAAGAAGCAGCCUAGUUAUACACCCUAAAUCUUCUUUAUGAUUAUGAUUGGUUUUUCUUAUUUGGCAUGCUAUUUUUUUAAAAUCACCUAGCUUACCUAGGUAUCUAUAAUCAACCAAUUAAUUGCCCAUUUUCCUCAACUUAGUUAGUAGACACCUUUGUAGGGCUUAGAGGGGUGUUACCUUUUAGAGGUAUCUUCCCAAUAGGUGACCUGAUCCCCGAACCUAGACUUAGGUUUUUCAAAGACAUGCUUUUUCAAAAACUACGAAGUCACUUCUUUAGGGGGUUUUUUUUUGUUUUAUUUUCCCUUUUAAAAUAAAAUAAAAUAAGUGGCAACUCCGACUUUUCCAAAACUAAUUUUUCACCAAUAAAAGCGAGUCUCGCCGAUUGAGUGGGGAAGCACGUGAAAAAUGUGGAUCUACAGUUGUGUAUAACCGAUUGUUUCAACUUGAAUGCAUAUAGGUUAUUGGUUUCUUUGUUGAAUUCUCCGUCCAAACUCUUAUACUUGAAGUGAAGAGUGACUGUGAAGUGUCUGAAGCAAUAGUAACAUCCAUAGCUGAUGGUUAUUUGGACUGAAGCAUGCAUUCAGCGCAUGAUAAACAAAUUCCUUUUGGAACUGGCAGUAUGUUGGGCAUAGAGUUUGCUAAGAGAGGUUCUAAAACUGUUGAGGUGGCUCUCUAUAUUUGAUUGAAUGCGAGACAUCAUAAGAAUGCUGUAGGGGAGCAGAAUGCUGCAAUUCUGGGUAGAUGGGCAACUUUAAUGAUGGACAAUAUGAAGCUGCUGCACAACUUCAUUCUCAAGCUCAGCAGAUUUGUGUUGUUCUAUAUCCUAAGGAUGCUGCAGAAAGUGGAAAGCUUUUGUGAUUGAAGCAAUUUUUUUCUAUGCAGUGCCUCACUUCAGGACAUUACUUCCAGAUUCAAGGAGAGGAAAUAUGGGGGCUUAUGGCAAUGGUCUGAAUUUCCCAACAAGAUAGCAGUACAGUCGAAUGAUAGACAUCCUACCCUUGCAAUUCCAGAAUUGACGCGAUUACUGAUGAACGAUGAAGGACUUGGAUAGGAUGAAGCUUGGGAUAUGACAUCAAAGGUAUCUUCAGUUUGCUCUUGAUGAAUGAAUGGGAAUCACAUACAGGCUUUGUCCUUUUGUCCAGCUAAGAGACCAACUGAUUCAUAAUUCUGGAACAAUACUUAGGUCAUUUGUAUAUCUCAUAUGGAAAUUGAGCUUUUGUGUUCUGGAGAUCAUGUCCCAGGUUUGAGAACCUGCUCAGGUUGGCAUGCGAAGAUCACCAAUCAAAUACCUCUAGAUGGGCUCAUAAUUGGCCUUUGCUCCUAAAUCCAGCAAAAAGAAAGAAAUAUUCAGCAUUUGUUCAGUUCGAUGGUGGCAAAGUCUUUGAAUAUAUCAGAUUUAGGCAUCAUGGGAGGAGCUCUAAAAACUGAGGAUAUGAUUCUUCAACCUUCAGUACUCCAGUUAUCAGAAAUGGCAGCCUGGAGCUUGCAGUUGGUUCAUCAGAAAUGGGAGUGCUAGCUCCGGCAACCUGGCCAUUUGCAAUGGAGAUGCUGCCUUAUAUUAGAAGCCGAUGUCACCUCCAGCAUCACCAAUUCCUUCCCAUGUCCACCUGUCACUCCAGAAUGAUCAACUGAAUGAACUUGUGGUGAAAAAUCAGCAAAUGUCAGCAGUGAAAAGUCAGCAAGUUUCAGCUGAUUAUAUACCAAUGCUCAAAACGAACACUCCUACAGCCCAACUGACAAUCAAGAACAUGUAAUUGGGCAAUUUAAAUGUCAUAUCAAGGAUUGUGAGCACACGAAAUGCUGAUCCACACCAAAGAGAUAGCAAAAUAAUGCUUAUGUUCCCAUAACACAUCCAUACAGUUGGAAUAGGCCAAACGGUCACUCAACCGCUAACUAUUCAGGAAGAUCUUGACAGCUCCAAAAGACAUCAGUAAUGAGCAGAUCAUCCAACUUUGCACCCUCUAUGUGGUGGACCUAGUUCAUAGAAUAGAGAAGAGAGAAGAAGCCUUCAGGAAGAAUAAGAGGAUAGUGGAGCUUGGUGUCUUCUUGGCAGCCACUCUCGAAAGUCCAGAAAUGCAGGAUCCAUCAGAAAGUCUCUAGCUUACUGCCCAUUUUCCUUCACACACGCGACUAAGUUGCUGAAUCCUUUUGACUGAGGGUUAAUUCCUGAUUAUGGGCAAUUUGAUACGCCUGAAGAAUGAGGAUUUAUCCGAGGAACUGGACAUCUGAAAAUCAAUUAAGAUGCGAGCAUGCAGUUGAAGAAAAUUGUUUGUGAGCAAGUUGACAAUAGAAACAGAAUUCAGAUGUUAAUAUAAGGGAAUUUAUUUCUACACAUUCUCAAACCAGAUGUGGACCCAGAAUUCAUAGAAGAGAGAAGAGAUCAUCUUCAGGAACCAAUUUUACCAUAUUCAAUCUGACAAGACAGCGAAGCCGGCACUAUAGUUAAACCUGGUGAUAUUUCCAUAAUUCAUGUUCGUGAAUUGCCUAAGAUUAAGGGAAAAAUUCAAUCAUUGAAGAGCUGCAACUCUUGGUUCUAACUUGUAGCUUGACUUUCGAUAAAAUUGGACAUACUUUCAGACUGAAGUGUCAUAACAGGGUUAUUCAACAUGAAGCUGGUUGUUUCUUAAUUGUUUUCUUGCACACUGAACAUUCUUCCUGGGAAUGAAUAUUCUAAAUUUCUGCAUGAGUUCAUGUCUGCUGUCAAGCAGAACUAUAAAAAAGGGUUAUAUAGUUUAAGGAUUCUGCAAACCAUAAUGCUUUUGAGCUGCUUGCAAGAUACAACACAACUCAUCUUGUCUCCAAUGGUGAUAUACAGGGAACAACAUCUAUGGUUUUUGAGAGGCUUGUUGCCGCACUGAAGCUACCCAGUGGUAUUUUGGCUGAUCACAAAUUUCUAUUCCUUGGUAUUAAGGAAGUAGAGAUUGGGAUAGCAAAGCCUAUAGUCCUUGAGAUAUUGGAAUAGACAAGAUGUCCAUACUCUAAGGCAACAUAUUCCAUUAUAGAUUCCUCAUGCUUCCGGAGCAAACUCAAAUUUACUUUCCAAUUCUCAAUCAGUUAGGGACUGGAAUAUUCAAAUUAUUGAG